CACGUAGUUAGCCGUGGCUUUCUUGAAUGGUACAGUCAAUCUCUAAUCAUUUCCUAUUAGAGCCGUUCUUCCCAAACAACAGAACUUUACAAUCCAGAGGACCGUCAUCGUUCACGCGGCAUUGCUCGUUCAGGGUUUCCCCCAUUGACGAAUAUUCCUAACUGCUGUCUCCCGUAGGAGUCUGGGCCGUGUCUCAGCCCCAGUGUGGCCGAUCAACCUCUCAGUUCAGCUAUGCAUCGUUGACUUGGUAGGCUCUUACCCCACCAACUAUCUAAUGCACCGCAGGCCCAUCUCUUAGCGAAUCGUUUAAAGGUCUUUACCUUUAAUCCGUAGAUCACUAUUCGGUAUUAACGAAUUCGUUUACCAAUUGGUACUCCCAUCGAAGAGGUACGUAACCA
rnacentral:rRNA from 1 species